rnacentral:tRNA from 1 species
CGGGGCGUGGCGCAGGGGUAGCGCGUCUGAAAAAGCAGCAGUUUUGCCAAUCAGGAGGUCGUUGGUUCGAAUCCAGCCGUCCCGACAA